GACGAACGCUGGCGGCGUGCUUAACACAUGCAAGUCGAACGGAAAGGCCCUUCUUUUGUGGGGUGCUCGAGUGGCGAACGGGUGAGUAACACGUGAGUAACCUGCCCUUGACUUUGGGAUAACUUCAGGAAACUGGGGCUAAUACCGGAUAGGAGCUCCUGCUGCAUGGUGGGGGUUGGAAAGUUUCGGCGGUUGGGGAUGGACUCGCGGCUUAUCAGCUUGUUGGUGGGGUAGUGGCUUACCAAGGCUUUGACGGGUAGCCGGCCUGAGAGGGUGACCGGCGAAAUUGGGACUGAGAUACGGACCAGACGCCAAAGGGAGGCAGCAGUGGGGAAUAUGGCACAAUGGGCGGAAGCCUGAUGCAGCAACGCCGCGUGCGGGAUGACGGCCUUCGGGUUGUAAACCGAUUUCGCCUGUGACGAAGCGUGAGUGACGGUAAUGGGUAAAGAAGCACCGGCUAACUACGUG
rnacentral:rRNA from 1 species